AUUGAACGCUGUCGGCCGGCCUAACACAUGCAAGUCGAACGAGUGGCGGACGGGUGAGUCAUGUCUUGGAAACUGCCUGAUGGAGGGGGCUAACUACUGGAAACGGUAGCUAAUACCGCAUACCAUUGUAUGUUCCCCGAUGGGAUUAGCUAGUAGGUGGGGUAAAGGCUCACCUAGGUGACGAUUCCUAGCUGGUCUGAGUGGAUGACCAGCCACACUGGAACUGAGACACGGUCCAGACUCCUACGGGAGGCAGCAGUGGGGAAUAUUGCACAAUGGGCGCAAGCCUGAUGCAGCCAUGCCGCGUGUAUGAAGAAGGCCUUCGGGUUGUAAAGUACUUUCAGCGGGGAGGCGUUACCCGCAGAAGAAGCACCGGCUAACUCCGUGCCAGCCGCCGCGGUAAUAC
rnacentral:rRNA from 1 species